rnacentral:rRNA from 1 species
AGUGAACGCUAGCGGUAGGCCUAACACAUGCAAGUCGAACGGCAGCACAGUAAGAGCUUGCUCUUACGGGUGGCGAGUGGCGGACGGGUGAGGAAUACAUCGGAAUCUACUUUUUCGUGGGGGAUAACGUAGGGAAACUUACUCUAAUACCGCAUACGACCUACGGGUGAAAGCAGGGGAUCUUCGGACCUUGCGCGAUUGAAUGAGCCGAUGUCGGAUUAGCUAGUUGGCGGGGUAAAGGCCCACCAAGGCGACGAUCCGUAGCUGGUCUGAGAGGAUGAUCAGCCACACUGGAACUGAGACACGGUCCAGACUCCUACGGGAGGCAGCAGUGGGGAAUAUUGGACAAUGGGCGCAAGCCUGAUCCAGCCAUACCGCGUGGGUGAAGAAGGCCUUCGGGUUGUAAAGCCCUUUUGUUGGGAAAGAAAAGCAGCAGGUUAAUACCCCGCUGUUCUGACGGUACCCAAAGAAUAAGCACCGGCUAACUUCGUG